rnacentral:lncRNA from 1 species
CUUGAAGUCGGCAGGGAUCGCAUUAUCAACAACACGGUAGCCACCACCCUUCGCAAGGAAGCGGAAGGCGAUAGGUCCCUCGAUCGGCUCCUUGCUGUCGAGCGUAAAAGUCUUGGGUUCUGACUCCUUGAGGUCGUCCGUGAAAUCCGUGGCUCCCUUGGGCUUGACCGACACCUCGGAGAUGGCGACGUUGGUGAUAAGGGAUAAUUUGGUGGAGGUGGAGUCCUUACCGACCUCGAUGGUGAGUGUAGUGCCGCACGAGCCGAUGGCAAACAAUGCCGCCAAUGCCACCACCGCGAGUAGGAAGCAGAAGGACGAUGAGGAGGCCAUUGGUGAGCUAGAAAGUAGCAAGUUGGCAGAACCUUCUUGUUUAUUUCUUGAUCGAUGGAGAGGGAUGGAUGGAUGUGGGCGAUGUGUGUGGCGAUCGAUAUUGUAGUUGGCCGCUGCGUAUUUAUGGGUAGUGGAGGCAAGCAAACAAGGCAUGGUCGUACGGUGAGCCGCAUAGAUUGCUGGCUGGCUUGUUAAUCAACGGACACUUGUUCAAUUGCCACAAAUAGAACUGGGCUAGGCAUUUCCGAUUGUCUUGCUGUCAGUCUAAAAAAUUGCAGGACAUUAAUGCAGACUUCUCAGAAAGCACAAGCACGGAACCCUCAAUAUUUUUAUAAUUCUAUUUUUAGAGUAUAAUGCAGCACGAGUAAUAAUUCCUGUUGACACACUUAAACAAAUUUAGUGAUCCUUGUAUCCCAAAAUAUAAAAGGCACACCCAUUUCAAAAUUCAAAUUUGUUAACUUUUUGACCAACUAUGGUCUGCGUAUACUGCAAUCUAUACCUAGUCUACCUAUCUAUAUCACAGUUAUUAUUAUACUAUAAAAGUGCAAAACAAUAAAAGAAUACAACCCACCCAGCUGGGUCCGACCCACCCACUGUAUAGUCUCAUGGAUGUGUUUUCAAAGUUUAGUAUUAGUGCACUAAAAACUUCCACGCUGGCCUAAGGACUGGCCUGGAUUGAAACAAUCCCUUUACAAUGUGUAUUCUAUUCUAAUUUUCUCCGAUCGUGCCAAGGCCUGGUUUUUUUUAACCCAGAACGGCAAUUUGAUAUAGUUACGAAGCUCUCACAUAAGAUUGGAGUGUAUCAUCCUCAAGUCUAGCUAGUCCCUAUAACUUCUCAACCCACUUAAAAUGUCUGAUUGCAGGGAUAUAAAUAGCCCUAAGCGAGCCAACAUGCUGCUCGAGUGGUCAUACUUCAUGAGAACACCGCAUGAUAUGUUGAAACAAAUGCCGAUACAGAAUUAUCCUAUGAAUACAACCGGAUAUUGAAUGAAAAAUGGUAAUAUUUUUUCUGAACAUCGGAUCGUAUGGUGGCACAAAAAAUGGUCACGAAUGGAUCAUUAUGUGAUGUCAUAAUACUUGUGCUUUGUUUCUUGUUGUUGGCAGAUGAUAUAGUUAGACCUAAUCAAAUGCCAGAUCGAGGCCAAAAUGAUUGCCGUGGUAAAUUAUUCUGGCCAUUCUCACCUGUUGGACACGUCAGGCUAGUUAGUACUAAUUCUUGGGUUCUCCAUGGUUGGCUCAGGGUACUGGUAAAAUAAUGGUUCAAGCCCACAUAAUGCACUUGUUUGGUCAAGGUGUCCCAUGAGCAAGUCGUGCAAUAAUCCUAAAAUGCUUCAAAUCGGAUCAUCCUUUGAAACUAUUUUCAGCAAACUGCCUUCUCAAUUGUUUGGUCACUACUUCUUGCUUUGAACUUUUUUUCAAAUAACCUUGUAUAGUAUUGAAAUCUUGUGACGUGCUUUGGAAGAUUCUACAAAAAUAUUUCACUUGACUAAUAAAAAUUCAUACUUGAUCAUCAUGUGAAGACCAAAAUGUUGUGCACUUUGAUGCUUCAGUAUUUGAGCCGGAGCUCUUUCUUCCUAAUAUUGUUUAUAUGGCCGCAUUGUCCAUGUGAAUUUUCUAAAUUAAUUUACUAGAUUAUGCAAAAGUACUUGGUCCAGCGAAUUAAAAUGACCAUAUAUUCACGUGAACAUUCGAGUGUUGCGCACACUUUGAUGUUUUGGUAUUUUUCCAAAUCUUUCUUCUAUAGACUUAGUUUUAUUGGUCUUUACUUGUUCGAAAGCUUGUAAAAAUAUUUACAACUUCAACAUAACAACAUAUAGUUUUUAUAUACUCUAAAUCUAACUUCAUAAGACAAGUCCUAUUUAUUCUUCUUUUUACAUGAAUUUAAUAUCUUAGAGUGAUCUAAGAAAAGUCAUCGAAUGCAUCUUAGCAUAUGUACAUGUUAGUCCGAGUGAUUGGGUUACCAUUUCAAUCACCGAAACCAUCAAGAGUUUUGGCUAGGUCCAUGUAUCUAUAGUGAUUAUCAGAGAUGGUGACAUAAGAUGCCCGCCCUAUAAAUAGUAACAUUUAAUUACGUAGGUGGGCAUUGUCAUUCAUUAUGCUCUCCUUAUUUUGAUUUUGCACAAGCGGCGACUUGCUUUUCUUCCUCUAUAAUUAUAAAAAAGGUCUAUGCCGAUUGAUCCUUUUCUCAGAAGCUUGGUUUUAUCUCAGACAAAAAUAGUUACAAUCAGAGAAGUAUAUGAAUGUUAGGAAACAACAAGGAACAUGCAACGUGCAUUGCAUUAAAACAAAAAAAAAUCGUUCGCCCUGACUAGCCCCUAGCCAACAUAAAACUAUUGUCAAAAUUUAUUAAAACAAAUAAAAUUCAAGAUUCCAAAACUUGCCAUCUUUAUACGAAAUAUUCUAGGUCCUCUUUUUUGCUGGUUCAAUUUUAUUAUUUGGCCUGUUUAGAAUCCUAGUCACUUAUUGGAACACACUCAUUUUUCGCAGACUUUCACAAACACGAGCGUGCACUCACUCUUAUGAACACAUGCACACACACCCUACCCUAUGAGCACCUCCGAAGAACCGAGUUGGACCGGCAAAUCUCGAGAAUGAUGAAGUCACCAUAGGCGCCUUGCUGUGGACAGGCACAUCGCGUACCACUGAAAGCUUAGCGCCGUUAAAUCCUAGAAUAAAUUCAAGAAAAUGCGUGCACCCGUGUCAAGGUAGGUACUUGAACCUGGGUGGGCUGGUUCCACCACAAAAAAUUGAACCAGCUAAUCUACGAUCAGUUCACUCGGAACACACCCCUUGACAAUGCAACAUAGUGACGACUAUAUGAGAAGACCUUUUCAUAAAGUUAAAAUAUGUAUUAGUUGGUUUGUGAUAAUGGUUUCAUGUCAUGGUUUGGUCCAUUUAGCAAUUAGAGUUGAAAAACAUCACGUGUAAAUUGAUAUUCCAUAGCAUUUCUUCCAUGCUACACAAGGUAAACAUGCUUCAUCGAUUCUUACAUACAUAUAUUUAUUAGAAGUUUAGAGAACCAAAGUACACAACCACUAUUUUACCAUACAUAAACAAUAUUGUAAAGUGUGUGCAUAUAGCUCCAAAGCAACACGUGGGAGAACAUAGUAUACUUUAUUUCGUGGUAGCCUACCUCUAAAUAAUCAUAGAAAAUGAAUUUUUGGCAUAAUCAUUGUGUACCCUUGGUCUCUGUAGAAAAUUUAUUUAGAGGUCAAUAUAAUCUCUGCGCAGCAGAUGACCACAUGUGUCCAUUGCUUAGACUUGUUCGGUGGUCUUGUAAACUGAGCCGGCCUUGAAGUCGGCAGGGAUCGCAUUAUCGACAACUCGGUAGCCACCACCCUUCGCAAGGAAGCGGAAGGCGAUAGGUCCCUCGAUUGGCUCCUUGCUGUCGAGCGUAAAAGUCUUGGGUUCUGACUCCUUGAGGUCGUCCGUGAAAUCUGUGGCUCCCUUGGGCUUGACCGACACCUCGGAGAUGGCGACGUUGGUGAUAAGGGUUAAUUUGGUGGAGGUGGAGUCCUUACCGACCUCGAUGGUGAGCGUAGUGCCGCAUGAGCCGAUGGCAAACAGUGCCGCCAAUGCCACCACCACGAGUAGGAAGCAGAAGGACGAUGAGGAGGCCAUUGGUGAGCUAGAAAGUAGCAAGUUGGCAGAACCUUCUUGUUUAUUUCUUGAUGGAUGGAGAGGGAUGGAUGGACGUGGGCAAUGUGUGUGGCGAUCGAUGUUGUAGCUGGCCGCUGCGUAUUUAUGGGUAGUGGAGGCAAGCAAACAAGGCAUGGUGGUGUGGUCAGCCGCAUAGAUUGCUGGUUGGCUUGUUAAUCGACGGACACUUGUUCAAUUGCCACAAAUAGAACUGGGCUAGGCAUUUCCGAUUGUCUUGCUGUUAGUCUAAAAAGUUGCAGGACAUCAAUGUAGACUUCUCAGAAAGCACAAGCACGGAACCCUCAAUAUUUUUAUAAUUCUAUUUUUAGAGUAUAAUGCAGCAUGAGUAAUCAUUCCUGUUGACACACUUAAACAAAUUUAGUGAUCCUUGUAUCCCAAAGUAUACAAGGCACACCCAUUUCAAAAUUCAAAUUUCUUAACUUUUUGACCUGCACUGGUCUGCGUAUACUGCAAUCUAUACCUAGUCUAUCUAUCUAUAUCACAGUUAUUAUUAUACUACAAAACCAUAAAAGAAUACAACCCACCCAACUAGGUCCCACCCACCCACUGUCUAGUCUCAUGGACGUGUUUUCAAAGUUUAGUAUUUGUGCACUAAAAACUUCCACUCUGACCUAAGCACUGGCCUGGAUUGAAACAAUCCCUUUAUAAUGUGUAUUCUAUUCUAAUUUUCUCCGUGACAAAGACCUGUUUUUUUAACCUAGAACGGCAAUUUGAUAUAGUUAUGAAGCUCUCACAUAAGAUUGGAGUGUAUCAUCCUCAAGUCUAGCUAGUCCCUAUAACUUCUCAACCCACUUAAAAUGUCUGAUUGCAGGGAUAUAAAUAGCCCUAAGCGAGCCAACAUGCUGCUCCAGUGGUGAUACUUCAUGAGAACACCGGAUGAUAUGAUGAAACAAAUGAAGACACAGAAUUAUCCUAUGAAUACAACCGGAUAUUGCACUAACGAAUGGAUCAUUAUGUGAUGUCAUAAAAAAUGGUCACGAAUGGAUCAUUAUGUGAUGUCAUAAUACUUGUGCUUUGUUUCUUGUUGUUGGCAGAUGAUAUAGUUAGACCUAAUCAAAUGCUUGAUCGAGGCCCAAAUGAUUGCCGUGGUAAAUUAUUUUGGCCAUUCUCACCUGUUGGACACGUCAGGCUAGUUAGUGCUAAUUCUUGGGUUCUCCAAGGUUGGGUCAGGGUACUGGUAAAAUAAUGGUUCAAGCCCACAUAAUACACUUGUUUGGUCAAGGUGUCCAAUGAGCAAGUCGUGCAAUGAUCCUAAAAUGCUUCAAAUCGGAUCAUCCUUUGAAACUAUUUUCAGCAAACUGCCUUCUCAAUUGUUUGGUCACUACUUCUUGCUUUGAAAUUUUUUUCAAAUAUCCUUGUGUAGUAUUGAAAUGUUGUGACGUGCUUUGUAAGAUUCUACAAAAAUAUUUCACUUGACUAAUAAAAAUUCAUACUUGAUCAUCAUGUGAAGACCAAAAUGUUGUGCACUUUGAUGCUUCAGUAUUUGAGCCAGAGCUUGUAAUACCCGAUUUUAAGGACAAAACCAGAUAUGCACCAUAUGUGAGUUUUAGAAACCAAAUCUCACAUAUAGCUACAAAUAAGGGGUAAUAUCAAAAGACAAUGCGUAAAUAUAUAACGUACUUAGUAUAAAAGAGAUAACCUUUAAUAGCAAACAACGGAUCGACAACUCCAACUUCGGGUAUUAACUUCUCUCCACAGGAUCCAACUGACUGGUUGAUCACAAGCCUAAACUUCUCCUGAGGUUUGGGGGAAAUAGCAAGAGUGAGUCCAUGUCGAACUCCACAAGUAUAGCAACUAGAUUGUAUAACUUCCACAAUCUCAUGACCAAUGUGACAUAAAUAAUGUAAAUCAUUAAACAGUAAACAAUGAGCAUAUUUAACACACAAGAUUCAUCAUCCUUAAUGUAGAUGUCCCCAAGGCCGCUCCUGACCGUGAGCUCGGCUAGUAUACUAGUUUUUAACCCUCUGCAGAGGUUGCACAUCUUUACCCAUGAGUCAUGAUUUACCCUUUCGCCCGAGGUGAUCAGCCUCUUAACCCACUUCCAAGGAAGGUCGGCAGGGAUCACUAUGAAGCAUUUCAAAAGUUCGUCUAACAUGUUAGGGCCGCAAGGUUUCCUUUGCGCGCAGAUAUAGAGCCCCCCUUCCGAUGGCACAAUGACGCGCAGCCUAUACACAUACAGACAGAGGCCACACUAUACCCAAAACGGUUCAGCCCCUCCGCCCUUUCGGGUAACCUCUAACAAGCUAGAAAAGGUCUUCAUACUGAGCUAAAGCCAGAGCCAUUAUAGCCCUCAUGGUUGCACUGUUGUCCCGGGUGAUCACGUACAGACAAAUCAUCAAGUUGCUAAAAAGUCAUUUUUAUCGUUUAUUACUUAACAUUAAUCUAGUCACAGGAUCAUGGUCACAGAAAUAAAAUCCAAAUACUAUACUUGCCUUAAUCCAAUUGCUCUUGCUUAUCCUUUUGGUCCUGUUGGUCUCACAUAUCCAAAACUCUGAUCUUGAUCACCAAAAACUGCUCUCCGUCUAAACUCGAUCAUCGAUCACACAAACAAUCGAAGAAAACAUACACGAAGCAAACAAGGCUACAAUUAGAACAGUACACCAAACAUAUAAAAACAGUAUGAAAAGUUUAUAAAAUGAUUCUACACAUCGCUACGAUCUCGCAGAUGUAGAUCACGAAAAUCGGAGCUAAAACGGAAAAGUUAUGAAUUUUCUAAGAUUUUCUAUAGAAAAUAAAUUAAUUAAAUAUAUAAACUCAUAACGUGACAAAUAUUGUUGCUAACUCAUACCCUUCAAGUUGGUGUGGCCACAACGCAACGAAAACAUAAUUAAAACUCUAGAUUAAUUUUCAUUAGAAAGCUAUUGAUUAAAUAUUAAAUAAAUUACGUUUAAAUCAAUAAAUUCAGAAUUGAGUUACACAAUAAAAGUUUAUACUACUGUGUAGAGUACGUCGAUACGAAUCCAACGCAACUUAAACCACUCAAAUCGGUCGUAAAACGAAUAAACGGCAGGGAUUAAACGAGCAGGGGCAAAACCAUAAUUACCUGUUUCUUCUACCUUGAGCUGCUCGUACAGAACGUGGUGGCCUCUAUGACCAUGGUCGAUCGGAACUCUGCUGGCCGCAUGAAGCAGGGGCUGUGCAGGUGACCAACGAGGGGUGGAAACCAUAGCGUGUCCGGCCGAUGGCCUUGGUGCGGUGGAUGGAGCGCACCCAGCCCAUGCACACGGGGAGAGGGAGCAGGGCCGGCCGGCGGCACUGCCGACGUGCUGCUGCUGCAUCGGACGGCCUAGUAGGCACACCAGGGCGCCGGGAAGGAACCUAGCAGCAAUGAUUUGGAGCCCGCAGAAGCAACUGUCCAGGAGGAUCACGACCGCGACAUGACAUGGCAGAAAACAACAAGAAGAAGAGCAUCCAUCGUGAGUUCACCGGAACAGUUCAUCGGAAAAGAGAAAACGAAAGGCAAACUAUCAAACAGGGUCGGUUUGAUGUAAAUAAGGACACUACAGUGAAGAGAAUAACGAGACGAACCUAGUACUGGUAUUAGUUUUCGCCGGGACACGUAGAGAUGGCCGGAAAACUUCGCCGAACGUUCGCCGGAAGUUCGUCGGAGUUCUAGGUUUCGAAACUUCGGCUUUAGAUCUAGGACGACAGGAGUGGCGGCUCGGAAAAGUGGUCGUACUUUUGGAAUCAGCGCGUCAAGGGCUACGCCGGCAUAUAUAUAGUGUUAGGGUUUGACGUCAUGGAAAAAUUGGAUAUUUUAUUAUUUUCGGAAUCAAUUAAUUUCGUGAAUAAAAAUAAUUCCAAAAAAAAAUCCAGAAUUGAUAUCUAGGGUCUAAAAAAAAUACUAUGAAGGCUCCAAAAAUUUGGGGAGAAUUCUUAGAGACACUUUAGAAUAUGAGGAAUCUAAAUGAAGUAUUUGGAGCUCGUGAUAAGAUAAUUUGGAGAAUCUAAAAAUUAGAUUAAGCUCACGGGAAAGGCCGGAAAAAUUCUCAAGAAUUUUUGUAGUGAUCUCUUGAUGGAUGAGAAACUGAAAGGAGUGACUUAGGUUUGAAAGAAAAUAUUCUGAGAGACUCUGAAUGAAAUCUUGAGCUGAGAGACAAGGAAUUUGAUUGUAGAAAAAAAAUAUAUAUGCCCAAGAAGGAAGAUCGAUCUAAUAAACGUAUUUUAAAUAUUUUUCUUACUAUCAACACAUAAAGGAGCAACAAGCAUCACUUCAAAGCAUAUGCACCAGCAUGUAUGCAUAAUAAUAUUGCUAUGCCUUAUAAUAAAUUUUAAUUUAAUAAAAAAUAUUAUUUUUCCUAUAUUUUCAUGAGCACAAAAAUACAAAAUUAAAUAAUUUUAUCUAUAUUUAAAAAGGAAUAAAUUUUAGGGUGUUACAAUUCUACCCCCCUUAAGAUGAAUCUCGUCCUCGAGAUUCAGAAGACGGUUAUCAAAGAGACGUAGAUUUUGAAUCUUGUUCACUUUCUUGAGUAGUUAUAUCUUCAUAGCAUUGAUUCCACUCUCUUACUCCAAGUAGCCUCUCAAGUAUUCCUAAAAUAUUGACGAGACACCUAGUGUAGCAGGUACGAUCCUUCUUUAAACUUAUUUCUCCUAUCCUUUUUAGACCCUACACAUCAUAUAGUCUUUUAAAUUCGCUGUACCGAGUCUCUUUAUCCAAGGUUAGUUUCAUCACUAAGUUCCAAUUAUCGGUACCUUUAUCACAGUUAAGUUGCUUCACUCUCACACUAUACAUACAACUCUGUAGACUUUGGUGUCAUCUGAUCCUCAUACACAACUCUUAAUCCAUGAGUAUCAGUAAUGACAUAACCUUCCAUUGGUAUUAGCACACUCCAAAUAGAAUGAUAUCUUGAAACAAACCAACAUACCAAGCACUUGAUGUCCUCGUAGAUGUUCGAGUUAUUAACCACUUCUUCUCCUUAUAGUUCUUUAAUUAGGCUACCCCCCUUAAGAAAAGUCAACUAAGGGACCAAGAAAGGUAGCUUCCAUACUUUCCAGACAGGUUAACUUAACAUUGAGAACCUCUGACACUCCAAAGAACUUAUGUGCAAUAGAGCAAACAGGUAUCCUGAAAUUUCCUCGCGAUAUGAAAAACACCAGCGUAGUAAAAUGGACAUAACUCUUAUUCUAUGAAUCCAAUAGAGUUGUGGCUUAUACCGUUAGAACACUUAUGAAAUUUCCAGCAACUUUCCUGUAGAAGACCUCCUUAGGUUCUGUCUUUAAGCUCAGGUAAAACAACCAAACUUAAUAUCCAUCCUGAAAAUGUCUCAGCAAAGGUGCAGUAACUUCCAGAAGUUAUAUCUAGAGCUCCUUAACUCAUCUGGAGAUGAUCCUUACAUUUUUGAAAAGGUUGGGAAAUUCUCUACAAGUUUCGUAUACCACGUUUUCCCAGAUUCUGUCUUUAACUUGGCUGAAAAAUUAGAAAUACCAGAUCUGUCCAGAUUUUGAAGCAGAACAGAAACAUCCGGGUAUAAAUAUCAUAAUCUCAAGUUCUACUUAUCCAAAUAAGUUCCAGCUUAUACCGUUGGAAAGAAUAGAAAAUUGUCUACAAAUUUUCUAUAGAAUACUUUUCCAAAUUCUAUAGUUAUAUAUGUCUAAAACAGUAAGCAACCGAAACUGAUCCAGGUUCUUGACAGCACAGUUGUAUCAUCUUGUGAUUUUUGUAACUUCCAAACCAUAACAGCUAUGAGGGUGAUUCUUGCGGUCGGAGAAAGAUCUUGAAGUCUAGUUGUUCUUAGAAAAAGUUGAUAGACUUUUCACAAUCAAAAGUUGAGAUACACCAGAACCAUUGCAAACUGCUCCAGAAAUCAGCAAAGAACAGAAACAUGAUAUAACCAAACCCAACUACUUAUUUCAUUACUCCUUAUGCCUUAGGUCUUUAAACUAAAUGAAAUUGUGGAGAAAACCCACAAGAUCAUUGCACUCAUUACAAAGAUCCAAAUCAAACAUAAGCAUAAUGACAAACCAACUAAGCAUUAAAGGUUCACACUUCACUCAACUUACGAUGCUAUCGUUCGCUUCAUCUUAGGGGUUGAGAUCCUAAAACUUAUAUUUCAAAGACGCAAGAAGGUGGUAAGAAAAUGUUCUAAUAGCAUACCAAAUCAAAGGAGUGAAGAUGAGAACAAGUACUUUUGAAAUAAGCAACAAGGUAAAGACAAAUAGCAAGGAUAGGGAUAUAGUAUGGAUGAAAAUACCAAGGUUUAUAGAGCAAGGAUUUUAUGACAAUUCCUAAACCUUAAGACGACAAAUUUCUAACUAGGCUUGCGUCCUACAGUCAGCAUUGCUCUGAUACCACUUUGUAAUACCCGAUUUUAAGGACAAAACCAGAUAUGCACCAUAUGUGAGUUUUAGAAACCAAAUCUCACAUAUAGCUACAAAUAAGGGGUAAUAUCAAAAGACAAUGCGUAAAUAUAUAACGUACUUAGUAUAAAAGAGAUAACCUUUAAUAGCAAACAACGGAUCGACAACUCCAACUUCGGGUAUUAACUUCUCUCCACAGGAUCCAACUGACUGGUUGAUCACAAGCCUAAACUUCUCCUGAGGUUUGGGGGAAAUAGCAAGAGUGAGUCCAUGUCGAACUCCACAAGUAUAGCAACUAGAUUGUAUAACUUCCACAAUCUCAUGACCAAUGUGACAUAAAUAAUGUAAAUCAUUAAACAGUAAACAAUGAGCAUAUUUAACACACAAGAUUCAUCAUCCUUAAUGUAGAUAUCCCCAAGGCCGCUCCUGACCGUGAGCUCGGCUAGUAUACUAGUUUUUAACCCUCUGCAGAGGUUGCACAUCUUUACCCAUGAGUCAUGAUUUACCCUUUCGCCCGAGGUGAUCAGCCUCUUAACCCACUUCCAAGGAAGGUCGGCAGGGAUCACUAUGAAGCAUUUCAAAAGUUCGUCUAACAUGUUAGGGCCGCAAGGUUUCCUUUGCGCGCAGAUAUAGAGCCCCCCUUCCGAUGGCACAAUGACGCGCAGCCUAUACACAUACAGACAGAGGCCACACUAUACCCAAAACGGUUCAGCCCCUCCGCCCUUUCGGGUAACCUCUAACAAGCUAGAAAAGGUCUUCAUACUGAGCUAAAGCCAGAGCCAUUAUAGCCCUCAUGGUUGCACUGUUGUCCCGGGUGAUCACGUACAGACAAAUCAUCAAGUUGCUAAAAAGUCAUUUUUAUCGUUUAUUACUUAACAUUAAUCUAGUCACAGGAUCAUGGUCACAGAAAUAAAAUCCAAAUACUAUACUUGCCUUAAUCCAAUUGCUCUUGCUUAUCCUUUUGGUCCUGUUGGUCUCACAUAUCCAAAACUCUGAUCUUGAUCACCAAAAACUGCUCUCCGUCUAAACUCGAUCAUCGAUCACACAAACAAUCGAAGAAAACAUACACGAAGCAAACAAGGCUACAAUUAGAACAGUACACCAAACAUAUAAAAACAGUAUGAAAAGUUUAUAAAAUGAUUCUACACAUCGCUACGAUCUCGCAGAUGUAGAUCACGAAAAUCGGAGCUAAAACGGAAAAGUUAUGAAUUUUCUAAGAUUUUCUAUAGAAAAUAAAUUAAUUAAAUAUAUAAACUCAUAACGUGACAAAUAUUGUUGCUAACUCAUACCCUUCAAGUUGGUGUGGCCACAACGCAACGAAAACAUAAUUAAAACUCUAGAUUAAUUUUCAUUAGAAAGCUAUUGAUUAAAUAUUAAAUAAAUUACGUUUAAAUCAAUAAAUUCAGAAUUGAGUUACACAAUAAAAGUUUAUACUACUGUGUAGAGUACGUCGAUACGAAUCCAACGCAACUUAAACCACUCAAAUCGGUCGUAAAACGAAUAAACGGCAGGGAUUAAACGAGCAGGGGCAAAACCAUAAUUACCUGUUUCUUCUACCUUGAGCUGCUCGUACAGAACGUGGUGGCCUCUAUGACCAUGGUCGAUCGGAACUCUGCUGGCCGCAUGAAGCAGGGGCUGUGCAGGUGACCAACGAGGGGUGGAAACCAUAGCGUGUCCGGCCGAUGGCCUUGGUGCGGUGGAUGGAGCGCACCCAGCCCAUGCACACGGGGAGAGGGAGCAGGGCCGGCCGGCGGCACUGCCGACGUGCUGCUGCUGCAUCGGACGGCCUAGUAGGCACACCAGGGCGCCGGGAAGGAACCUAGCAGCAAUGAUUUGGAGCCCGCAGAAGCAACUGUCCAGGAGGAUCACGACCGCGACAUGACAUGGCAGAAAACAACAAGAAGAAGAGCAUCCAUCGUGAGUUCACCGGAACAGUUCAUCGGAAAAGAGAAAACGAAAGGCAAACUAUCAAACAGGGUCGGUUUGAUGUAAAUAAGGACACUACAGUGAAGAGAAUAACGAGACGAACCUAGUACUGGUAUUAGUUUUCGCCGGGACACGUAGAGAUGGCCGGAAAACUUCGCCGAACGUUCGCCGGAAGUUCGUCGGAGUUCUAGGUUUCGAAACUUCGGCUUUAGAUCUAGGACGACAGGAGUGGCGGCUCGGAAAAGUGGUCGUACUUUUGGAAUCAGCGCGUCAAGGGCUACGCCGGCAUAUAUAUAGUGUUAGGGUUUGACGUCAUGGAAAAAUUGGAUAUUUUAUUAUUUUCGGAAUCAAUUAAUUUCGUGAAUAAAAAUAAUUCCAAAAAAAAAUCCAGAAUUGAUAUCUAGGGUCUAAAAAAAUACUAUGAAGGCUCCAAAAAUUUGGGGAGAAUUCUUAGAGACACUUUAGAAUAUGAGGAAUCUAAAUGAAGUAUUUGGAGCUCGUGAUAAGAUAAUUUGGAGAAUCUAAAAAUUAGAUUAAGCUCACGGGAAAGGCCGGAAAAAUUCUCAAGAAUUUUUGUAGUGAUCUCUUGAUGGAUGAGAAACUGAAAGGAGUGACUUAGGUUUGAAAGAAAAUAUUCUGAGAGACUCUGAAUGAAAUCUUGAGCUGAGAGACAAGGAAUUUGAUUGUAGAAAAAAAAUAUAUAUGCCCAAGAAGGAAGAUCGAUCUAAUAAACGUAUUUUAAAUAUUUUUCUUACUAUCAACACAUAAAGGAGCAACAAGCAUCACUUCAAAGCAUAUGCACCAGCAUGUAUGCAUAAUAAUAUUGCUAUGCCUUAUAAUAAAUUUUAAUUUAAUAAAAAAUAUUAUUUUUCCUAUAUUUUCAUGAGCACAAAAAUACAAAAUUAAAUAAUUUUAUCUAUAUUUAAAAAGGAAUAAAUUUUAGGGUGUUACAGAGCUCUUUCUUCCAAACAUUGUUUAUAUGGCCGCAUUGUCCAUGUGAAUUUUCUAAAGUAAUUUACUAGAUUAUGCAAAAGUACUUGGUCCAACGAAUUAAAAUGACCAUAUAAUCACGUGAACAUUCGAGUGUUGCACACACUUUGAUGUUUUGGUAUUUUUCCAAAUCUUUCUCCUAUAGACUUAGUUUUAGUGGUCUUUACUUGUUCGAAAUCUUGUAAAAAUAUUUACAACUUGAACAUAUAUAACAACAUAUAGUUUUUAUAUACUCUAAAUGUAACUUCAUAAGACAAGUCCUAUUUAUUCUUCUUUUUAUCAUGAAUUUACUAUCUUUCAGUGAUCUAAGAAAAGUCAUCGAACGUAUCUUAGCAUAUGUAUAUGUUAGUCCGAGUGAUUGGGUUACCAUUUCAAUCAUCGAAACCAUUAAAAGUUUUGGCUAGGUCCAUGUAUCUAUAGUGAUUAUCAGGGAUGGUGACAUAAGAUGCCCGCCCUAUAAAUAGUAACAUUUAAUUACAUAGGUGGGCAUCAUCAUUCAUUAUGCUCUCCUUAUUUUGAUUUUCCACAAGAGGCGACUUGGUCAUUUUUCCUCUAUAAUUAUAAAAAAGGUCUAUGCUGAUUGAUCCUUUCCUGAGUAGCUUGGUAUUAUCUCAGACAAAAUUAGUUACAAUCAGAGAAGUAUAUGAAUGUUAGGAAACAUCAAGGAACAUGCAACAUGCAUUGCAUAAAAACAAAACAGAAUUCGUUGGCCCUGACUAGCCCCUAGCCAACAUAAAACUAUUGUCAAAAUUUACUAAAACAAAUAAAAUUCCACAUUCCAAAACUUGCCAUCUUUAUACGAAAUAUUCUAGGUCCUCUUUUUUGCUGGUUCCAUUUUAUUAUUUGGCCUAUUUAGAAUCCUAGUCACUUAUUGGAACACACUUCUUUUUUUGCGAGAUCCAGUUACAUACGUAGACGUUCACAAACAUGAGUGUGCACUCAGCCCUAUGAACACAUACACACACCCUACCCCUAUGAGCACCUCCGAAGAACCGAGUUGGACUAGCAAAUCUCGAGAUUGACGAAGUCAUCAUAGGCGCCUCGCUGUGGACGGCUACGUUGCCUACCACUGAAAGCAUAGCGCCGUUAAAUCCUAAAAUAAAUUAAGAAAAAUGCGUGCAGCCGUGUCAAGUCAGGGACUUGAACACGGGUGGGCAGGUUCGACCUCAAGGAGCUCAACCAGCUAAUCUGUGAUCAGUUCGCUCGAAACACACCUCCUUGACAAUGCAUCACGGCUAUAUGAGAAGACCGUUUCAUAAAGUUAAAUUAUGUAUUAGUUGAUUUGUGAUAAUAGUUUCAUGUCAUAUGGCUUGGUCCAUUUAGCAAUUAGUGUUGAAAAACAUCACGUGUAAAUUGAAAUUCCGUAGCAUUUCUUCCAUGCUACACAAGGUAAACAUGCUUCAUCGAUUCUUACAUACAUAUAUUUAUUAGAAGUUUAGAAAACCAAAGUACACAGCCACUAUUUUACCAUACAUAAACAAUAUUGUAAAGUGUGUGCAUAUAGCUCCACAACAACACGUGGGAGAACAUAGUAUACUUUAUUUUGUGGAAGCCUACCUCUAAAUAAUCAUAGAAAAUGAAUCUUUGGCAUGCUCAUUGUGUACCCUUGGUCUCUGUAGAAAAUUUAUUUAGAGAUCAAUAUAAUCUCUACGCGGCAGAUGACCACAUGUGUCCAUUGCUUAGACUUGUUCGGUGGUCUUGUAAACUGAGCCGGCCUUGAAGUCGGCAGGGAUCGCAUUAUCGACAACACGGUAGCCACCACCCUUCGCAAGGAAGCGGAAGGCGAUAGGUCCCUCGAUCGGCUCCUUGCUGUCGAGCGUAAAAGUCUUGGGUUCUGACUCCUUGAGGUCGUCUGUGAAAUCUGUGGCUCCCUUGGGCUUGACCGACACCUCGGAGAUGGCGACGUUGGUGAUAAGGGAUAAUUUGGUGGAGGUGGAGUCCUUACCGACCUCGAUGGUGAGCGUAGUCCCGCACGAGCCGAUGGUAAACAGUGCCGCCAAUGCCACCACCGCGAGUAGGAAGCAGAAGGACGAUGAGGAGGCCAUUGGUGAGCUAGAAAGUAGCAAGUUGGCAGAACCUUCUUGUUUAUUUCUUGAUCGAUGGAGAGGGAUGGAUGGAUGUG